CAUAUGAAUUAGGUAGGUGAUGUAUAAUCUCAGCUAAUUAGGAAGCUGAGACAGGAGGAUUAUAUGUAUUCAAGCCAGUUUGGGCAACAUAAUCAGAUCCUGUCUCAAUAUAAAAAUUAUAGAUACAUUGUAACUAUUCCUACACGUAAACAUAUACACAACUACAUAAAAAAACAUGCUGGCUAGAAAUGCAUGUAGCAGUACAAAUGAGAGCAUUCAUUAUUUCUAGAUUCCUGGGUUGUAAUUGUUUUCUUCAUCUUUCAAGAUGUAAACUGAAGCAGUUUCUGACUCAUUUUUCUAUUAAAUAAAGUCCUAGGUUUGCCUUUAAGGUUUUAUUCCUAGAACUAGUUCUGAAUACAAAUGUUAACAUGAGCUUCUGGACAAUUGACUAGGUGCUUCCUCCAGGCUUAUGCUGGAUUUACGGAAGCCGUGUUUGUUAUUUAUUUUUUUCUCUUCUCUUCUCUUUUCUUUUCUGCCUUUUGGCUGGGUCUCUUGUCAAGGCUGUCCUCAAAUGUAUUGUGUAGUCGAGGCUAGCCACGAACUCCUGACCUCCCUGCCUCUGCUUCCUGAGGGCUGCAACUAUUGCCAUGGCUGCCUCUUCUCUUUUCACCAGACACACAGACACCAGACACACAGACACUAGGCUGUCACAGCAAAGAAGAGUAACAGGGACACUAUUGUCUUCUGAGAAUUUUAGGGAUCUCCCUCAGCCUGCCUUCAUCUUGGCCAUCCAGCUGCUUCCUCUGAUAAGGACAUUCUUGUGGGGGACUAAUGAAGAUUCAGUGUAAAACAUCGAUCCCAUCACACUUUCUAAAUGUCCACUUAAAACACAGAACAUCCAAUAAUUCCCAAGGAAAACCAGUUCUGUCAAAUCGCAUUGCUAAUUCACGAAGGGCAUCAACUGUUCAAAAUGGGCAAGUGUAGGCAUCCAGUGGCUGUUUUCAAAAGCUGGCUCUCAGGGGAGUUUGAAUCCGUAUCUUACUCAGCUGUGUGAACUUGAAUCAUUUAAAUGUAGAUAAAUGUGCAGAUAAGUUUGGUUUUGCAUAAAUUUAGAGCAUUUGCAAAAAAAAGAAAAAGAAAGAAAAAGAAAACUCUAACAGCAUGUUCCACUCUAAUUCCUUAUUCAGUACUCACAUAUUUCCCUUUGAAGUUAGAAAAGAAGGGAUUUUAGCCACACACUGUAGCCAAAUGUGUUGCAUGUUUCCGUGUAGAGGGCACACACUUCUUGUUGUGAUGAUAUUAAUGAUUCUUCUCAUGUACUACAUUUUAUAACUUUUAGUCCUAAUUGAGAGAGAGAGAGAGAGAGAGAGAACCCUAAAAUUAAUCUUUCAAAGUCACAGAACCGGAGUGGCUAAUCAGACUUGGAAGUGGGGCUAAUGGCACUGUAGUCAGAUUGAUUGGCUGUUAAACAUGUGGAGUGAAAGCCACAUCACGAAGUACUCAGGGAGAACCUGUGCAGAAUUCCUCUUGAAUCUGUCCCUGGCCUCUGAUUUCAAUACGUGGCUCAAGGCCUGUUACCUUAGCUUCAAAGCACAGCUCCAAGAUAUCUACCAGCUGACAACUUUUAGUUCAUUUUAGUUUUUAGCUUUUUCAAGUAAGACACAAAAGGAACGGGGUGCUGACCAUUCUUUACUGGGAAGAUAAAGCUUGCUAUUUCUUUUGUUUGUUUGUGUGAAUGGGUGACCCACAAGACUGAUAGUUUGUUUAUGUUUCAGGCUGUUUAUGGCUAAAAUGUUCCAUGCACAGGCUGUGACAGGGGACAGAAAAAGUUUGGGCACCAGCUUUUCACAAAGGGUCAAUUCCUCGAACAUCCUUGCACUGAGAAAGGCUGAGCGCAAGUCGGUUGUUGAAGUAGCAGGUGGUAACCUCAGGUUCAAGUUUUAAAAGGACAUCAAGGAGGAAGAACGAGAAGCUGGACUUUAUAAAAGUAAAAUAUUUCUGCUCUGAAAAGAGACCCUGUCAAAUGAAUAAGAAGACAAGAGAAAACACCCUGCGAGUUUCUGAUGGAGGGCCUAUUGAACACUCAAGGGUCUCAUGAUCCAUGUCUGAAGUACAUCUUCGUCCAUUCGGAGAUGUCAACAUCGGUGUAAGAACACACACUCUUGAAUACAGGACCUCAGCAUCAAACAGUCCACACAGCAUGGUUUGUGGCUUGCAGAGAAUGGAGAGAUGACCCAGGUGUUCUUCAGUGGGGGAAGUAAUUAAGUGUGCUGUCCUAUGGAUUAGAAAUGUUUUAGAACCUUACUCAGAUGUAAUAAAAAUGGAUGACAGCCGGCAUUGCUCCCAGAAGGCCUUGUGGGGACACUGCUGUCUUGGGAAGAAAUCCCAGGAAGACAGAAAGUCUGCUUCUGGGGUAGCAAGGACAGAUCUUUUCACCUUGUGCUCAGAAUCCCUGUGCUGAUGAUUUCCACUGUGGUGGUAUAAAGAGCUGGGGUCUUGGGGAACUCGAUUCCUAAUCAUGACCUCAUGAGGACUUUCAACUCAACUUACUGUACUCUCUCAACGCACCCCCAGGUCAUUAGUCUUUAUUCAUUUUCUUCAAAGUGUUCAUAACUUUGAAGUUCCGAACAUUUGUUCUCUGGUUUGGUUUAUUUUAUUGCUUUAGUUGAGUGUGGGUCUCACAGAACAAAAUCUUAUUAGUCUGUUUACCCCUCCUGGCAUUAUCCGAUGCAUGUGUGUUUAACUGAAACAAAGACUAAAAAGAAUCGUCGCAUUUUAUAAAAAUUAAAAUUAAUAACAGAGAAUGUAAGGAUAUAAUAGGGAAAAGAAGUGUGGAAAAUCUGGACCAAGCUGUCGACAGCAGUUGCCUGUAAGGAGGGAGCGUGUGACAUCUUGUGUUCUGUUGUUUACAUUUCUCUAGUAUUUGAAUUUCAAAUAAUGAAAGUUUGAUGUUUUCUUUUUAUAUUUAUUUUAAUAAGGAAAACAGCUAGUGGUGGGGAGAAGGGUGUGACACUGUGACAGAGCUUUCGCCUAGUUUGGGCCCCAGGUUUGCUCUCUAGCACCACAAACCACUACAGCAAACAGCACUGACGUUAACUCUAAGUGGUGGGUGGAGCUUGAGGACCCAGUUAAGUACAAGACGUGGGCUUGCACCACCUGCCCACCCAUUGUCCAGGCUGUCAGCUACUGGCCACAUGUGACUGCUCAGCCAGGGAACUGUGACCACUGCAGCCAAGAGAUCAACUCUUAAGUUAUACUUAAAUAAUUUUAUAAUUAAAAAUGAAUAUUUAAAUGUUUGAUUCAGUUACUGGAACAGUUUGGAGCAUGGUUUGAACCUAGGAAUGAGAAUCUACUUUUUCCAGUAUAAGACUCACAACAUCUGUGUUUAGACCAAGUUUUUAGCAAAAAAUAUCACAUCCAAACUUGAUAUUCUAGAAAAACAAAAUUAAAUAUUUGUUAAGAAAAAAUCAUUAUUGAUGUUUUUAUUAACUAUAUAUUUUGUAGUAUUUUGGAUGUAUAAUACUAAGUUAAUUUAUGAAAUGAUUAACUUUGUCUAUUUGUGAAAAUGUAGCUAGCUACUAGAAAAACUUUAAAUUGAACAAAUGAUUCAAAUUUCAUUCCUGUUGGAUCAUUAAUUUGAGGAGACUGGAGGAGGCGAAAGGCUUGAGAAGUGGGAGCAGCAGGGGGUCGGGGAAGGGUUUGACUGACUCAUAGAAUCUGCUCUAACCUGGGGUUGAUGCACUAGAAAGAAGAACUGUAUGUGUGAAUGGCAAGGGUCAGUUUUCCUGAGCUAUGGCCUCCCCAGCCAGCCUCUGUUUCUGCAUGUCUCUGGCUGCAUGUCCAGCAAGUCUCUGUUUCAUAUACACAAACCAUACACAAAGACAUCAUACACACAAACUAUAUACACAUAGACAUCAUC